rnacentral:rRNA from 1 species
GGCUAGCGUUGCUCGGAAUCACUGGGCGGAAAGCGCACGUAGGCGGACUCUUAAGUCGGUGGUGAAAUCCUGGAGCUCAACUCCAGAACUGCCUUCGAUACUGGGAGUCUCGAGUUCGGGAGAGGUGAGUGGAACUGCGAGUGUAGAGGUGAAAUUCGUAGAUAUUCGCAAGAACACCAGUGGCGAAGGCGGCUCACUGGCCCGAUACUGACGCUGAGGUGCGAAAGCGUGGGGAGCAAACAGG